GCUGAAGCAAAGCAAACCAACUAUGGCAAAGCCCUCUUUUCCUAUAAAUAAGGAGGAGACGAGGAGAGUAGAGAGUGGGCAUUUAGGGCAUUUUCCAUUUCUAAUAUCCUAAUUUUCAUAGAGAAAUAGAAGAAAGAAGGAGAUGGAACAGAAAAAGAAACUCUAAAAUGACCCUUCAAGACAUAUGGAGCUCCCUUGCUAUAGUCCAAAUGUCCAAUUUUACUUCUCUUGAGAUAUUUUUUUCCAUUCUGAUAAAGUAAAAAAUGAAAGGUACCUUUUUUUUACCCUUUUCUUCUUUUACAUAGUUUUACUGAGUCAACUGUGAGCAGUUUGUGAUAGUAAUUGGCCUCUUUAUCUUCCUCAAGAACACUAUCUGGAUGAUCUUGAAGAUUUCUCUGUCG
rnacentral:lncRNA from 1 species